GGAAUAUUGGACAAUGGGCGCAAGCCUGAUCCAGCCACGCCGCGUGCGCGAUGAAGGCCUUCGGGUCGUAAAGCGCUUUUCUGGAGGACGAGAAGGGACGGUACCCCAGGAAGAAGGCUCGGCUAACUACGUGCCAGCAGCCGCGGUAAAACGUAGGAGCCUAGCGUUAUCCGAAUUUACUGGGCGUAAAGCGCGUGCAGGCGGCUUGGUAAGUCGGCUGUGAAAUCUCCCGGCUCAGCUGGGAGGGGACGGUCAAGACUGCCAGGCUGGAGGCAGGGAGAGGGAGGUGGAAUUCCCGGUGUAGUGGUGAAAUGCGUAGAGAUCGGGAGGAACACCAGUGGCGAAAGCGGCCUCCUGGCCCUGACCUGACGCUGAGACGCGAAAGCUAGGGGAGCAAA
rnacentral:rRNA from 1 species